UAUCACACUCUCGUUUUGAAAGUUGUUCAUUUCUUGUGAUUUUGAGUAACGAAACAUUUACUCUGAGAACAAAACUUUCUAUUUCAAAGUUGGUUUGUCAAUGAAACAUUGUACCUUUGAGAGCGGAAAUUUUUGAACUGAAAAGAGAAAAGUUCUUAAAUGAAUGCUCUUCAUUUUCUUGGUUUGGCGACACUGGCUAUAAAUAAAAAAUACUCUGGCAACCAAACGAGCUGUCAACGUCUUGAAUCAAGAAAAUACUCCCGGCGUAUUCUACACUCUUCAAGGCCUGAAUAAAUUCCUUCGAAGAAUUUAAUGGAAUAACAGAUGUGCACUGACGUCAGAAAAGAUAAUCGAGCACGCAAACAGCUAACUUCAAUCGGGCAUCCGGCUGUCGGCAUUCAACGGUAUAUUUGUGCUUGACAGCGUUUAUUUUACAUCCAAGCUGUUAUUAAUAGAUCACAUCCAUCAAAAGAUAAAAUUUUCACGACAAAAUCCCGAAAUCCAGGAACGAACUGCACCAACCAACCACCAAGUUGACCGCCGCUGUCCUGAAAUAUGAAUCUGAAUUUAUAAAUAUGAUCAGAAGGAAAAAGGCUUGAUGAAUUAUAAAAUAGACAAUAAAAUUAAAGCUAAAUAACAAAUUCGAAUUGUUUUUGUUUUUUAAUUUGGCAAUUAAAAAUUAUAAAUACGCCUGUGAAAUUGAGAGAGAAUACAACUUGUUGUUUUGAAAGUACUACUAGUUGAU